rnacentral:rRNA from 1 species
GGCUCGGGGAGGUAGUGACGAAAAAUAACAAUACAGGCCUCGUACGAGGCCCUGUAAUUGGAAUGAGUACACUUUAAACGCUUUAACGAGUAUCCAUUGGAGGGCAAGUCUGGUGCCAGCAGCCGCGGUAAUUCCAGCUCCAAAAGUGUAUAUUUAAGUUGUUGCGGUUGAAAAGCUCGUAGUUGGAUUUUGGGAUGGUGCGUACGGUCGGCCGCAAGGCUUGUACUGAACGUGCUGUCCUCACGUGACCGGCGCCUCUAAGGUGCUCUUAACUGAGUGUCUGUGUGGUCCGGGAAGUUUACCUUGAAAAAAUUAGAGUGUUCAAAGCAGGCUUAAAGCUUGAAUAAUGUUGCAUGGAAUAAUGGAAUAGGACCUCGGUUCUAUUUUGUUGGUUUUCGGAGCGCGAGGUAAUGAUUAAGAGGAACGGACGGGGGCAUCCGUACUGUGCCGCUAGAGGUGAAAUUCUUGGAUCGGCGCAAGACGAACAACUGCGAAAGCAUUUGCCAAGAAUGUUUUCUUUAAUCAAGAGCGAAAGUCAGAGGUUCGAAGACGAUCAGAUACCGUCCUAGUUCUGACCUUAAACGAUGCCGACUAGCGAUCGGGCAGUGUCGAAAGUAAGACCUGCCCGGCAGCUUCCGGGAAACCAAAGUCUUUGGGUUCCGGGGGAAGUAUGGUUGCAAAGCUGAAACUUAAAGGAAUUGACGGAAGGGCACCACCAGGAGUGGAGNCUGCGGCUUAAUUUGACUCAACACGGGAAAUCUCACCCGGCCCGGACACAGCGAGGAUUGACAGAUUGAGAGCUCUUUCUUGAUUCUGUGGGUGGUGGUGCAUGGCCGUUCUUAGUUGGUGGAGCGAUUUGUCUGGUUAAUUCCGAUAACGAACGAGACUCUUACUUGCUAAAUAGCUACUCGACCCAUUGCGGUCAGAGAUAACUUCUUAGAGGGACUAGUGGCGUUUAGCCACACGAGAUUGAGCAAUAACAGGUCUGUGAUGCCCUUAGAUGUUCGGGGCCGCACGCGCGCUACACUGACCGGAUCAUCGUGUGCUUCCCUUGGCCGAAAGGCCCGGGUAAUCCGUUGAACCCCGGUCGUGCUAGGGAUAGGGAAUUGCAAUUGUUUCCCUUGAACGAGGAAUUCCCAGUAAGCGCGAGUCAUUAGCUUGCGUUGAUUACGUCCCUGCCCUUUGUACACACCGCCCGUCGCUACUACCGAUUGAAUGGUUUAGUGAGGUCCUCCGAUUGAGCCCGGUGCGCCCGGAAACGUGCAUGCU